rnacentral:rRNA from 1 species
CCUACGUGGGGCAGCAGUGAGGAAUAUUGGUCAAUGGGCGGAAGCCUGAACCAGCCAAGUAGCGUGCGGGAUGACGGCCCUACGGGUUGUAAACUGCUUUUGUACGGGGAUAACACGCUCCACGUGUGGAGGUCUGCAGGUACCGUACGAAUAAGGGUCGGCUAAUUCCGUGCCAGCAGCCGCGGUAAUACGGAAGGUGCGAGCGUUAUCCGGAUUUAUUGGGUGUAAAGGGAGCGUAGGCGGGCGUGUAGGUCAGCGGUAAAAUCGGGCGGCUAAACCGGGACCCGCAGUUGAAACUGGACGGCUAGAGUGCACAAGAGGCAGGCGGAAUGCGUGGUGUAGCGGUGAAAUGCUUAGAGAUCACGAGGAACACCGAUUGCGAAGGCAGCCUACCGAGGUGCGACUGACGCUGAGGCUCGAAGGUGCGGGUAUCAAACAGGAUUAGAUACCCGAGUAGUC